GACACCUUCCGCUCUCUCCCUUGCAUCAGUCUCAGAGGCUUUAUAAAGUAUCACCAAAUUGCCCUUUCCUCUGAUCUUCGUACACACAAACAUACACAUACAUACAUAGAUAUAUACACGUACACGCUAAUAUACAUAUCCUCUAGUGCGCAUGUGUGGCUAUGGGUUUGUACAUGAUAUAUGUGUCCCCCCAUUAUUGUGAUAUUAUGUCUAUUUAGAACAGGCUGCAGCUGAAAGUGCCUCAGUUGGUAGGGAAUCAGUUGUCCUUUAUUAAACAUUCAAUCCUUAUGGCUCAGAGCUCCCAUAGACCUUUCACGUGAACUUACACAUGUUCAUAGCAAGUGAAAUUAAAUCUUAAAGUAGAAGGUUAUUUGAAAUUAAAAACGAAAUAAGAUCCACAAGUUAGCUUAUAAGGCCAGUCAACUGGAUUUUCAAGGUUUUUUUUUUGUUUUAGUAUUUAAUGAUAUUUUAACCGUUGAAAAACGCAAAGCAUUUUGGGUGAUUCGAAAACACCGGAAGUGAACAAUUUUCGGUCCCUAAUGAAUGAGAAGUGAUAUAUUUUCCUGUGGCUGCUGACCUUUUUUUGAUCCAGUUGUUAUGUUAUUCAUUGACUGAGCAGUCUCCUGGGAGAAGAUGGUAACAGUAAUGAUAACAAUAAUCAGGUAUACUGUAUUUGAUGGAAAGGAACAUGGGUUCGAUUCGCGACCAUGGAAUUAAAAACAUGGACGAACCCAAGAAAACUACUCACUUCCGCCAGUUAUCAUAAAUAAAUACCAUUUCCAUGAUUCUCAUAGCAGUCUUUUACCAAAUUUACCCGAUCCAGGUUGUAGUCGACAUUUCACCUCCAAAUGUCCCAAGAUAAGAAAAAGCACCACCAGCUUCCUAGCCUACCUACAGUUAUAAGGUCAUCCACUCUACAUGUUUUACUUUGUAUGUAGACACGUCACCUCUUUCUAUAAAGGGGCCAUGAUAAAUUUUCAGUUCUUAAAAUAAAAUGUUUUUCAUGUGUCCAUU